rnacentral:rRNA from 1 species
CACGUAGGGGGCGAGCGUUGUCCGGAUUUAUUGGGCGUAAAGAGCUCGUAGGCGGUUCCGUCAGUCGGGUGUGAAAACUCUGGGCUCAACCCAGAGACGCCACCCGAUACUGCGGUGACUAGAGUCCGGUAGGGGAGUGCGGAAUUCCUGGUGUAGCGGUGAAAUGCGCAGAUAUCAGGAGGAACACCAACGGCGAAGGCAGCCCCCUGGGCUAACACUGACGCUGAGGCACGAAAGCGUGGGGAGCAAACAGG